UAGGGAAUCUUCCGCAAUGGGCGAAAGCCUGACGGAGCAACGCCGCGUGAGUGAUGAAGGUCUUCGGAUCGUAAAACUCUGUUAUUAGGGAAGAACAAAUGUGUAAGUAACUAUGCACGUCUUGACGGUACCUAAUCAGAAAGCCACGGCUAACUACGCGCCAGCAGCCGCGGUAAUACGUAGGUGGCAAGCGUUAUCCGGAAUUAUUGGGCGUAAAGCGCGCGUAGGCGGUUUUUUAAGUCUGAUGUGAAAGCCCACGGCUCAACCGUGGAGGGUCAUUGGAAACUGGAAAACUUGAGUGCAGAAGAGGAAAGUGGAAUUCCAUGUGUAGCGGUGAAAUGCGCAGAGAUAUGGAGGAACACCAGUGGCGAAGGCGACUUUCUGGUCUGUAACUGACGCUGAUGUGCGAAAGCGUGGGGAUCAAACAGG
rnacentral:rRNA from 1 species